rnacentral:rRNA from 1 species
AACGAACGCUGGCGGCAGGCUUAACACAUGCAAGUCGAGCGCGUAGCAAUACGAGCGGCAGACGGGUGAGUAACGCGUGGGAAUCUACCGAGCCCUAAGGAAUAGCUCCGGGAAACUGGAAUUAAUACCUUAUACGCCCUUUGGGGGAAAGAUUUAUCGGGGUUUGAUGAGCCCGCGUUGGAUUAGCUAGUUGGUGGGGUAAAGGCCAACCAAGGCGACGAUCGAUAGCUGGUCUGAGAGGAUGAUCAGCCACACUGGAACUGAGACACGGACCAGACUCCUACGGGAGGCAGCAGUGGGGAAUCUUGCACACUGGGCGCAAGCCUGAUGCAGCUAUUCCGCGUGCGCGAUGAAGGUCUUCGGAUUGUAAAGCGCUUUCGAUGGGGACGACGAUGACGGUACCCAUAAAAGAAGUCACGGCUAACUUCGUGCCAGCCGCCGCCGUAA